rnacentral:tRNA from 1 species
CCGUAGCUCAGUGGUCAGAGCGGUCGGCUCAUAACCGAUUGGUCGCAGGUUCGAUCCCUGCCGGGCC